rnacentral:rRNA from 1 species
AACGAACGCUGGCGGCGUGCUUAACACAUGCAAGUCGAACGGACCGGCGCUGCAUUUGCGGGGUGCUCAAGAAGGGAACGGGUGAGUACCACGUGAGUAACCUGCCCUUGACUUUGGGGUGGCUUCAGGGAACUCGGGCUAAUACCGGAUGGGUGAUCCUGCUGCGUGGUGGGGGUUGGAGAGUUUUGGCGGGUGGGGAUGGGCUCGCGUUGGAUCAGCUUGUUGGUGGGGUAGUGGCCUACCAAGGCGAUGACGCGUAGCUGGCCGGGGAGGGUGACCGGCCACGCUGGGACUGAGACCCGGCCCAGAAUCCGACGGGAGGCAGCAGUGGGGAAUCUUAGGCGAUGAGGGCAAACCUGAUCUAGCCAUGCCGGGUGAGUGAUGAAGGCCUUAGGGUUGUAAAGCUCUUUGAGCUGGGAAGAUAAUGACGGUACCAGGAGAAGAAGCCCCGGCUAACUCCGUG